rnacentral:piRNA from 1 species
GAAGAAAGUUGACCCUACACUUCCAG